GACGUAGGGCGCGAGCGUUGUCCGGAUUUAUUGGGCGUAAAGAGCUCGUAGGCGGCUUGUCGCGUCGAAUGUGAAAACUCGGGGCUCAACUCCGAGCUUGCAUUCGAUACGGGCAGGCUAGAGUUCGGUAGGGGAGACUGGAAUUCCUGGUGUAGCGGUGAAAUGCGCAGAUAUCAGGAGGAACACCUAUGGCGAAGGCAGCGUCGCUGGGACGUUACUGACGCUGAGACGCGAAAGCGUGGGAGCAAACAGG
rnacentral:rRNA from 1 species